AGUCAUUACCGAGUUUACACCUCCCAACCCCAAUGUGAACGUUACCAAACUGUUGCCUCGGCGGGAUUUCUGCCCCGGGCGCGUCGCAGCCCCGGACCACGGAUUCUUUACAUUCUGAGCUUUCUCGGCGGCUCCUAGCGAGCGUUUCGAGGCGCCCGCCGGAGGACCAAUUGUACAAACUCUUUUGUAUAUCCCAUCGAAAAUGAAUCAAAACUUUCAACAACGGAUCUCUUGGUUCUGGCAUCGAUGAAGAACGCAGCGAAAUGCGAUAAGUAAUGUGAAUUGCAGAAUUCAGUGAAUCAUCGAAUCUUUGAACGCACAUUGCGCCCGCCAGUAUUCUGGCGGGCAUGCCUGUCCGAGCGUGCAUUUCAACCCUCGAACACCUCCGGGGGGUCGGCGUUGGGGAUCGGCACUUACCUGCCGGCCCCGAAAUACAGUGGCGGUCUCGCCGCAGCCUCUCCUGCGCAGUAGUUUGCACACUCGCACCGGGAGCGCGGCGCGUCCACGGCCGUAAAACAACCCAAACUUCUGAAAUGUUGAGCACUCGGAUCAGGUAGGAAUACCCGC
rnacentral:rRNA from 1 species